rnacentral:rRNA from 1 species
UAGGGAAUCUUCCGCAAUGGACGCAAGUCUGACGGAGCAACGCCGCGUGAGUGAAGAAGGAUUUCGGUUCGUAAAACUCUGUUGUUAGAGAAGAACAGCGCAUAGAGUAACUGUUAUGCGUGUGACGGUAUCUAACCAGAAAGCCACGGCUAACUACGUGCCAGCAGCCGCGGUAAUACGUAGGUGGCAAGCGUUAUCCGGAAUUAUUGGGGGUACAGCGCGCGUAGGCGGUUUUUUAAGUCUGAUGUGAAAGCCCACGGCUCAACCGUGGAGGGUCAUUGGGAACUGGAAAACUUGAGUGCAGAAGAGGAAAGUGGAAUUCCAUGUGUAGGGGUGAAAUGCGCAGAGAUAUGGAGGAACACCAGUGGCGAAGGCGACUUUCUGGUCUGUAACUGACGCUGAUGUGCGAAAGCGUGGGGAUCAAACAGG